AUUGAACGCUGGCGGCAGGCCUAACACAUGCAAGUCGAGCGAGCGGCGGACGGGUGAGUAAUGUAUGGGGAACUGCCCGAUAGAGGGGGAUAACUACUGGAAACGGUGGCUAAUACCGCAUACUGUCAGAUGUACCCAGAUGGGAUUAGCUAGUAGGUAAGGUAAUGGCUUACCUAGGCGACGAUCCCUAGCUGGUCUGAGAGGAUGACCAGCCACACUGGGACUGAGACACGGUCCAGACUCCUACGGGAGGAAGCAGUGGGGAAUAUUGCACAAUGGGCGCAAGCCUGAUGCAGCCAUGCCGCGUGUAUGAAGAAGGCCUUAGGGUUGUAAAGUACUUUCAGUCGGGAGGCGUUACCGACAGAAGAAGCACCGGCUAACUCCGUGCCAGCAGCCGCGGUAAUAC
rnacentral:rRNA from 1 species